UACGUAGGGUGCAAGCGUUGUCCGGAAUUAUUGGGCGUAAAGAGCUCGUAGGCGGUCUGUCGCGUCGGAUGUGAAAACCCAGGGCUCAACCCUGGGCCUGCAUUUGAUACGGGCAGACUAGAGUUCGGUAGGGGAGACUGGAAUUCCUGGUGUAGCGGUGAAAUGCGCAGAUAUCAGGAGGAACACCGGUGGCGAAGGCGGGUCUCUGGGCCGAAACUGACGCUGAGGAGCGAAAGCGUGGGGAGCAAACAGG
rnacentral:rRNA from 1 species